rnacentral:rRNA from 1 species
UGGGGAAUAUUGCACAAUGGGGGAAACCCUGAUGCAGCGACGCCGCGUGAGUGAAGAAGUAUUUCGGUAUGUAAAACUCUAUCAGCAGGGAAGAAAAUGACGGUACCUGACUAAGAAGCCCCGGCUAACUACGUGCCAGCAGCCGCGGUAAUACGUAGGGGGCAAGCGUUAUCCGGAUUUACUGGGUGUAAAGGGAGCGUAGACGGCUUUGCAAGUCUGACGUGAAAAUCCGGGGCUCAACCCCGGAACUGCGUUGGAAACUGUGAGGCUUGAGUGCCGGAGAGGUAAGCGGAAUUCCUAGUGUAGCGGUGAAAUGCGUAGAUAUUAGGAGGAACACCAGUGGCGAAGGCGGCUUACUGGACGGCAACUGACGUUGAGGCUCGAAAGCGUGGGGAGCAAACAGG